rnacentral:piRNA from 1 species
UGGAGCCCAGUAAACCGGGGAGCCUGU